rnacentral:rRNA from 1 species
AGUACUGCCAGACUGGAACCGGGAGAGGUAAGAGGUACUACAGGGGUAGGAGUGAAAUCUUGUAAUCCCUGUGGGACCACCUGUGGCGAAGGCGUCUUACCAGAACGGGUUCGACGGUGAGGACGAAAGCUGGGGGCACGAACCGGAUUAGAUACCCGGGUAGUCCCAGCCGUAAACGAUGCUCGCUAGGUGUCAGGCAUGGCGCGACCGUGUCUGGUGCCGCAGGGAAGCCGUGAAGCGAGCCACCUGGGAAGUACGGCCGCAAGGCUGAAACUUAAAGGAAUUGGCGGGGGAGGCACAACAACGGGUGGAGCCCUGCGGUUUAAUUGGACUCAACGCCGGACAACUCACCGGGGGCGACAGCAAUAUGUAGGCCAAGCUGAAGACUUUGCCUGAAUCGCUGAGAGGUGGUGCAUGG